rnacentral:rRNA from 1 species
AACUAACGCCGGCGGCGUGCCUAACACAUGCAAGUCGUACGAGAAAGUUGGCUUCGGCCGAUGAGUAAAGUGGCGCACGGGUGAGUAACGCGUGGAUAAUCUACCCCUCAGUUAGGAAUAACUCAUCGAAAGGUGGGCUAAUACCGAAUAACACUGCAUGACUACUGUUGUGCAGUAAAAGAUGGCCUCUGCUUGCAAGCUAUCGCUGCAGGAUGAGUCCGCGUACCAUUAGCUAGUUGGUAGGGUAAUGGCCUACCAAGGCAACGAUGGUUGGCUGGUCUGAUAUGAUGAUCGGCCACCCUGGAAAUGGAACACGGUCCAGACUCCUACGGGAGGCAGCAGUGGGGAAUAUUGCGCAAUUGGGGAAGCCCUGACGCAGCAACGCCGCGUGAGUGAGGAAGGUUUUCGGACCGUAAAGCUCUGUCGAGCGGGAAGAAGUGCAUAGUGGCUAAUAUCCAUUAUGCUUGACGGUACCGCUAAAGGAAGCACCGGCUAACUCCGUGCCAGCAGCCGCGGUAAUAC